UUGGUUUCUGUCGCUUACAUAAAGUCAGCAGUGUAGGUACUCUGCUCAGUUUCAAUCAGUAUUCUGGCUUCAUCACAGCAUCUUGAGUGUCAAGAAACAUUGAGGCUGCUGUCUGUGUUUCUGCAAUGAAGACUCUUUGGAUCCUUCUCCUGCUGGCAACUUCCACUUGGGCUUUUGUUGCUGUGGAUUCCAGCAAUGCUGCCCGAGAGUCCCGAUCCAGCUCUGGUCCUGGGGCAAUUUCUGCACGCGCAUUCCUCACAGAUCUGGCCGAUGUGUUUGGCAGUACCUCUGAAGUGUUUGGUGAACUUUUCACUCAAAUGGUUACGUCCGU